AGUCGAGCGGUAAGGCCCUUUCGGGGGUACACGAGCGGCGAACGGGUGAGUAACACGUGGGUGAUCUGCCCUGCACUUCGGGAUAAGCCUGGGAAACUGGGUCUAAUACCGGAUAUGACCAAAGGCUGCAUGGUUUUUGGUGGAAAGGUUUACUGGUGCAGGAUGGGCCCGCGGCCUAUCAGCUUGUUGGUGGGGUAAUGGCCUACCAAGGCGACGACGGGUAGCCGACCUGAGAGGGUGACCGGCCACACUGGGACUGAGACACGGCCCAGACUCCUACGGGAGGCAGCAGUGGGGAAUAUUGCACAAUGGGCGAAAGCCUGAUGCAGCGACGCCGCGUGAGGGAUGACGGCCUUCGGGUUGUAAACCUCUUUCAGCAGGGACGAAGCGAAAGUGACGGUACCUGCAGAAGAAGCACCGGCCAACUACGUGCCAGCAGCCGCGGUAAUACGUAGGGUGCGAGCGUUGUCCGGAAUUACUGGGCGUAAAGAGCUCGUAGGCGGUUUGUCGCGUCGUCUGUGAAAACCAGCAGCUCAACUGCUGGCUUGCAGGCGAUACGGGCAGACUUGAGUACUGCAGGGGAGACUGGAAUUCCUGGUGUAGCGGUGAAAUGCGCAGAUAUCAGGAGGAACACCGGUGGCGAAGGCGGGUCUCUGGGCAGUAACUGACGCUGAGGAGCGAAAGC
rnacentral:rRNA from 1 species